rnacentral:misc_RNA from 1 species
GCCAUUCAGUGCCCAAAGUGAGGGUUUAUGAGGCGGAAAUUUUGGAUGUCGAGAGCAAAGCCAAGGUGAAUCUUGGUGUUGCAAUUUGCCAUAUUGACACGUCUGCUUGGGGACCAGAACAUGGGGCAUUUUUGGCACUAGGGUCAAGACCUGGGCAAAUUGAGGUCUGCCACUGGAUCUUUGAGAACGACAUGACUUGGACCAUUGGUGAUUGAAGAUGAGCCGCUGUUACUUGCGUUUGAUUAAUGAAAUUUUGUGCUUGGUGAUUUGUGUCAUUUUUUUUCCUUCGAUGAGAAUUAUGCAAGGAAACGAUCUCCAUAGACACAUUCCAUGAAAAUGCACUCAAUUUCAAUUGCUUUAAUAUUGUUUUCCACUCAUUUCUAUUUUUUUUU